rnacentral:rRNA from 1 species
UACGUAGGGUGCGAGCGUUAAUCGGAAUUACUGGGCGUAAAGCGUGCGCAGGCGGUUGUGCAAGACAGAUGUGAAAUCCCCGGGCUCAACCUGGGAAUUGCAUUUGUGACUGCAUGGCUAGAGUGUGUCAGAGGGGGGUAGAAUUCCACGUGUAGCAGUGAAAUGCGUAGAGAUGUGGAGGAAUACCGAUGGCGAAGGCAGCCCCCUGGGAUAACACUGACGCUCAUGCACGAAAGCGUGGGGAGCAAACAGG